AAAAAGCAAGAAAAAAUUAAAAGUGAGAAAGUUCUCUAGUUUUCUUUAAGUUCUUUAAAUUUCUUAGUUUCAAAAGUUUGUAAGUUACUUAAAAAAAAGAAGUGCAUGAAAAGUGUGAAAAAUUUUCUUAGUUCUUCAUUCUCCAGUAGCUGUCAAGUUUUCAGGAAACUCCCGAAAGGGAAACCUCACUUUUUCCUUAAGACAUAACUUAGACUCAAGUCAGUACCUGGACAAAGCAAUCAUGGAAGUGAAGGCGAAGAAGGCCAGCAGCCUGGCCGAUAUCCUGCCGGAAAACAUCCUGGAGACGCCUUCUGAUGAUGGAUUCAACAUUGGGACAAAUAGAGUCAUAGAAAUUCCAUGAAAGACCUUUCACAAUUGGUUGAGUACCUUGAGCAUCUGUUACUUGAAAAUGGACCGUAAGAAAAACAGAAAGGAUCAAUACAA